rnacentral:rRNA from 1 species
AGAGUUUGAUCAUGGCUCAGGAUGAACGCUAGCUACAGGCUUAACACAUGCAAGUCGAGGGGAAACGACAUCGAAAGCUUGCUUUUGAUGGGCGUCGACCGGCGCACGGGUGAGUAACGCGUAUCCAACCUGCCCAUCACUUGGGGAUAACCUUGCGAAAGUAAGACUAAUACCCAAUGACGUCUCUAGAAGACAUCUGAAAGAGAUUAAAGAUUUAUCGGUGAUGGAUGGGGAUGCGUCUGAUUAGCUUGUUGGCGGGGUAACGGCCCACCAAGGCGACGAUCAGUAGGGGUUCUGAGAGGAAGGUCCCCACAUUGGUACUGAGACACGGACCAAACUCCUACGGGAGCA